rnacentral:rRNA from 1 species
CCCGGCGCACGGGUGCGUAACGCGUAUGCAACCUACCCUUUAUAGGGGGAUAACACUGAGAAAUUGGUACUAAUACCCCAUAAUAUCAUAGAAGGCAUCUUUUAUGGUUGAAAAUUCCGAUGGUUAGAGAUGGGCAUGCGUUGUAUUAGCUAGUUGGUGGGGUAACGGCUCACCAAGGCGACGAUACAUAGGGGGACUGAGAGGUUAACCCCCCACACUGGUACUGAGACACGGACCAG